UUAAGGUGGUACCUAACACUACAGGGAGAUAACUCUGUAAUAUCAGCUAAACGUUUUAAUUGCGUUGCGUUGUGAAGGCAAAAUAAAGCUUCUCAAUGAUCAAAAUUAGUGUUUGUCAAACUGCUAUAUAACCAGUGUAAUUUUUCUGAUAAAACGCUUGGUUCAAAUUAUUUUAAUUUUUUAUAUUUUUGUAAAAGGGUCAAAGUAAAUACUUUGUAAAAAUUUUAUGAAAAUUAAACGAGCCAAAUUAAUUUUAGUGAAAGUGUUGGGUACCACCUUAA
rnacentral:lncRNA from 1 species